rnacentral:misc_RNA from 1 species
UUUCCGUAGGUGAACCUGCGGAAGGAUCAUUAUUGUAUAACCGAGGUGCGAGGGCUGUCGCUGACCCGAAAGGUCGUGCACGCCCGAGUGCCCUCACACACAUCCAUUUCACCCCUAUGUGCACCACCGCGUGGGUCCCCCUUUGGCUUGUUCGGAGGGGGGCUUACGUCUUCACACAAACUUUGUAUGCAGUGUAGAAUGUAUUUUUUGUUUUUGCGAUCACGCAAUCAAUACAACUUUCAACAACGGAUCUCUUGGCUCUC